rnacentral:rRNA from 1 species
UAAUACGUAGGGGGCAAGCGUUGUCCGGAAUUAUUGGGCGUAAAGCGCGCGCAGGCGGUCGCUUAAGUCUUCUGUUUAAGCCCCGGGCUCAACCCGGGUACGCAGAGGAAACUGGGCAGCUGGAGUGUAGGAGAGGAAAGUGGAAUUCCACGUGUAGCGGUGAAAUGCGUAGAGAUGUGGAGGAACACCAGUGGCGAAGGCGACUUUCUGGCCUAUAACUGACGCUGAGGCGCGAAAGCGUGGGGAGCAAACAGGAUUAGAUACCCUGGUAGUCCACGCCGUAAACGAUGAGUGCUAGGUGUUAGGGGUUUCGAUACCCUUGGUGCCGAAGUAAACACAGUAAGCACUCCGCCUGGGGAGUACGCUCGCAAGAGUGAAACUUAAAUGAAUUGACGG